AACGAACGCUGACGGCAGGCUUAACACAUGCAAGUCGAGCGCCCCGCAAGGGGAGCGGCAGACGGGUGAGUAACGCGUGGGAAUCUACCCAUCUCUACGGAAUAACGCAUGGAAACGUGUGCUAAUACCGUAUACGUCCUUAGGGAGAAAGAUUUAUCGGAGAUGGAUGAGCCCGCGUUGGAUUAGCUAGUUGGUGGGGUAAAGGCCUACCAAGGCGACGAUCCAUAGCUGGUCUGAGAGGAUGAUCAGCCACACUGGGACUGAGACACGGCCCAGACUCCUACGGGAGGCAGCAGUGGGGAAUAUUGGACAAUGGGCGCAAGCCUGAUCCAGCCAUGCCGCGUGAGUGAUGAAGGCCCUAGGGUUGUAAAGCUCUUUCACCGGUGAAGAUAAUGACGGUAACCGGAGAAGAAGCCCCGGCUAACUUCGUGCCAGCCGCCGCCGUAAGAC
rnacentral:rRNA from 1 species